UACAGAGGGUGCAAGCGUUAAUCGGAAUUACUGGGCGUAAAGCGUGCGUAGUCGGUUAUCUAAGUCGGGUGUGAAAUCCCCGGGCUCAACCUGGGAAUUGCAUUCGAUACUGGAUAGCUAGAGUUCGGCAGAGGGAAGCGGAAUUUCGGGUGUAGCGGUGAAAUGCGUAGAUAUCCGAAGGAACAUCAGUGGUGAAAGCGGCUUCCUGGACCAGAACUGACGAUCAGGCACGAAAGCGUGGGGAGCAAACAGG
rnacentral:rRNA from 1 species